UACGGAGGAUCCAAGCGUUAUCCGGAUUUAUUGGGUUUAAAGGGUGCGUAGGCGGCCUAUUAAGUCAGGGGUGAAAGACGGUAGCUUAACUAUCGCAGUGCCUUUGAUACUGAUAGGCUUGAAUGUACUUGAGGUAGGCGGAAUGUGACAAGUAGCGGUGAAAUGCAUAGAUAUGUCACAGAACACCAAUUGCGAAGGCAGCUUACUAAGUAUGAUUGACGCUAGAGGCACGAAAGCGUGGGGAUCAAACAGGA
rnacentral:rRNA from 1 species